rnacentral:rRNA from 1 species
AUGGGAAGUGCAGGUUUAGAGCAAACAAAGGCGCGCUCGCACAUCAAUUGUGCACAACCAGCGACAAGAACCUGGCAGAGGAAAUUUGACGAUGAAGGCAAGAAGAUCGAACUGUUUAGCAUGACCAUGAAUGAUAUGAUAUCAAUCAUACCCAUGGUUCUCAAGGGACUGAUGAUAAAUGCCGACCAGAGGGGAAAAGGCCGGGAUAUACUCUAUGACCCAUUCAGGAAAUGGAUGGACAACUGCUACCGUGGCCUACCCCUUGGUGGCCUUGGUUCAGGAAGCAUUGGGAGAAGCUACAGAGGGUACUUUCAGCAUUUUCAGAUAUUCCCAGCAUUAUAUGAAGAGAAGCCUAUCCUUGCAAACCAAUUUUCAGCAUUCGUCUCGCGUCCCAAUGGAAAGAGCUACUCCACGGUGUUGGCUGCACCGACUGCUGAUGCUCUCAAGGAGUCGAUAAGGCAGCUAUUGGAUCUUGGGACUGGAAGCUUAAGGAGAAAAACUGUACUUAUCAUGCCUUGUUCCCAAGAUCUAGGACAGUUUAUGAUGGUGAACCUGACCCUGAAAUCAAGAUCACCUGCCGUCAGAUAUCACCAAUCAUCCCUCACAACUUACAAGGAGAGCAGCUUACCUGUUGCAGUUUUCACAUUUACGGUGCAAAAUUCUGGGAGCACACCUGCAGAUGUAACAUUGCUCUAUACAUGGGCUAAUUCAGUUGGUGGGAGAUCAGAGCUGACUGGAAAUCACACCAACUCCAAGAUGAUGGAGCAUGAUGGUGUGCACGGUGUUCUUCUGCAUCACAGGACUGCGGAUGGGCACCCGCCGGUGACGUUCGCGAUCGCGUGUCAGGAAACAGAGGACGUCCGCGUGACAGACUGCCCUUUCUUCACGAUGGGGUCGUCCGACUCUGGCGACUUCACGGCCAAGGACAUGUGGGAGGAGAUCAAACAGCACGGUUCCUUCAGCGAAACCCGCACCAGCAAAGAGCCAAGGGCGUCGAAGCCCGGAUUAUCCAUCGGAGUGGCGGUCGCAGCGACGACGACAGUGCCGGCAGGGGGAACCCGCGUUGUGUCGUUUGCUCUGUCGUGGUCGUGCCCCGAGGUGAAGUUCCCAGACGGGAAAACGUAUCACAGGAGAUACACCAAAUUCUGUGGCUUGGAUCGAGAUGCAGCUGCAGAGAGCUUGGCUCAUGAUGCCCUUCUUGAACACAUGGAUUGGGAGUCCAAAAUCGAAGAGUGGCAGAGGCCUAUUCUGCAGGACAAAAGGCUGCCUGAGUGGUAUCCGGUUGCAUUGUUCAACGAACUCUACUAUCUGGUCGCUGGAGGCACCAUAUGGACAGACGGACGGCCUCCAAAGAUGAGCGUCGCCUCAUCGGGGACGGGGACGGAGCCAUUCUCCCUCGACGUGUUCCGCGCAGACCUGCAAGGCACCCCGGUGGUGGACGGCGUCCUGAGCGAGAUGACGUCCGUGACGGAGGACCUGCACUCGGCGGCGGCGUUCGGCGCAACGCUGCUCGCCGACGGCGAGGAGAACGUGGGGCAGUUCCUGUACCUGGAGGCGAUGGAGUACCACAUGUGGAACACCUACGACGUCCACUUCUACGCCUCCUUCGCGCUGCUCUCCCUCUUCCCGGAGCUCGAGCUGAGCCUCCAGCGCGACUUCGCCCGCGCCGUCCUCCUCCACGACCCGCGACCCAUGCGCACCCUCAACGGCAAGACCGUGCCGCGCAAGGUCCUCGGCUCGGUGCCGCACGACGUGGGGCUGAACGACCCGUGGUUCGAGCUCAACGCGUACAUGAUCCACGACCCGUCGCGGUGGAAGGACCUCAACCCCAAGUUCGUGCUGCAGGUCUACCGGGGCGUCGUCGCCACGGGCAACGUCGCCUUUGCCAGGGCGGCGUGGCCGGCGGUGUACCUGGCCAUGGCCUACAUGGACCAGUUCGACCGGGACCGGGACGGCAUGAUCGAGAACGAGGGCCGCCCCGACCAGACGUACGACCUGUGGUCCGUGUCCGGGGUCAGCGCCUAUACCGGCGGGAUCUGGGUCGCGGCGCUGCAGGCCGCCGCUGCCAUGGCGCGCAUCGUCGGCGACGGCGACGCCGAGUGCUGCUUCCGUGCGCGGCACCUCAGGGCGAAGCGCGUGUACGAUGACGAGCUCUGGAACGGCACCUACUUCAACUACGACAACAGCGGCGGCAAGACGAGCUCGUCCAUCCAGGCCGACCAGCUCGCCGGGCAGUGGUACGGUCACGUGUGCGGCCUGGAGCCGGUCGUGGAGGAGGAGAAGGCCCGGAGCGCGCUGGGGACGGUGCUGGACUACAACGUCAUGCGGGUGAAGGGCGGGACGGUGGGGGCGGUGAACGGGAUGCGGCCGGACGGCACCAUCGACAUGUCGUCGACGCAGUCCAAGGAGAUAUGGCCCGGCACCACCUACGCCGUCGCGGCCGGCAUGAUCCACGAGGGCAUGCUGGAGGCCGCGUUCCGGACGGCCAAGGGCGCCCACGACGCCAGCUGGUCCAAAGACGGCUUCGGGUACGCGUUCCAGACGCCGGAGGCUUGGACGGCGGAGGGCGGCUACCGAGGGCUGCACUACAUGCGGCCCCUCUCCAUCUGGGCGAUGCAGUGGGCGCUGUCGCCGCCGGAGCUCCACAAGGACCUCGGGCCGGGAGCCUCGCCGGGGGACGCGUCGGUUGGGCAGGAAAAAGUUCGAGAAGGUGGCGAGCAUGCUGAGGCUGCCGGAGGAAGUGCAGCACAAGGGAUUCCUCCGGGCUCUCUACCAUAUUCUCCGGCAGGUGGUGCUCCCGGUAUGACACCUCCAGCUCUGCAUGAUGCUGGACGAAUAAAUUUGUCGGUUGAUUGGAUAGAAGUCCCCGCAAGGCUGCUCGCGCUGUUGGAGUGUUCUUCCUCCUUUUUUUUGAAAGAUCCGGUUUAA